UACGUAGGGACCGAGCGUUGUUCGGAAUUACUGGGCGUAAAGCGCACGUAGGCGGCUUUGUAAGUUAGAGGUGAAAGCCCAGGGCUUAACCCUGGAAUUGCCUUUAAGACUGCAUCGCUAGAAUCGUGGAGAGGUGAGUGGAAUUCCGAGUGUAGAGGUGAAAUUCGUAGAUAUUCGGAAGAACACCAGUGGCGAAGGCGACUCACUGGACACGUAUUGACGCUGAGGUGCGAAAGCGUGGGGAGCAAACAGG
rnacentral:rRNA from 1 species